GUAUUGGUGGUUCAAUGGUAGAAUUCUCGCCUCCCAUGCAGGAGACCCAGGUUUAAUUCUCGGCCAAGGUA
rnacentral:tRNA from 1 species